GGAGGUCACUGCUAUUGGGAUUCGACUAAGCCAUGCGAGUCGAGAGGGUUCGGCCCUCGGCUGACGGCUCAGUAACACGUGGAUAAUCUGCCCUUGGGUGGAGGAUAAUCUCGGGAAACUGAGGAUAAUACUCCAUAGAUCUAGGAUGCUGGAAUGCAUCUAGAUUGAAAGCUCCGGCGCCUAAGGAUGAGUCUGCGGACUAUCAGGUUGUAGUCAGGGUAAAGACCUGACUAGCCUACGACGGAUACGGGUUGUGAGAGCAAUAACCCGGAGACGAUAUCUGAGACACGAUAUCGGGCCCUACGGGGCGCAGCAGGCGCGAAAGCUUCACACUGUGCGAAAGCGCGAUGAGGGAAUCCCAAGUGUUUGCUCGUAAGAGUAAACUGUUUCUUUGUUUAAAACGCAGAGAGAGUAAGAGCUGGGUAAGACGGGUGCCAGCCGCCGCGGUAAUACCUGCAGCUCAAGUGGUGGCCGCUAUUAUUGGGCCUAAAACGUCCGUAGCCGGUUUAGUAAAUGCUUGGGUAAAUUGUGUAGCUCAACUAUACGAAUACCGAGUAGACUGCUGAACUUGGGACCGGGAGAGGCUAGAGGUACUCCUAGGGUAGAGGUGAAAUUCUGUAAUCCUAGGGGGACCACCAGUGGCGAAGGCGUCUAGCUAGAACGGAUCUGACGGUGAGGGACGAAGCCCUGGGGCGCAAACCGGAUUAGAUACCCGGGUAGUCCANGGUGUAAACGCUGCUCGCUUGAUGUUAGUUGGGCUCCGAGCCCAACUAGUGUCGGAGAGAAGUUGUUAAGCGAGCUGCCUGGGAAGUACGGUCGCAAGGCUGAAACUUAA
rnacentral:rRNA from 1 species